GAUUACCCGCUGAACUUAAGCAUAUCAAUAAGCGGAGGAAAAGAAACUAACAAGGAUUCCCCUAGUAACGGCGAGUGAAGCGGGAAGAGCUCAAAUUUGAAAGCUGGCGCCUUCGGCGUCCGCGUUGUAAUCUCGAGAAGUGUUUUCCGCGCUGGACCAUGUACAAGUUCCUUGGAAUAGGACGUCAUAGAGGGUGAAAAUCCCGUACUUGACAUGGACGCCCAGUGCUUUGUGAUACGCUCUCCACGAGUCGAGUUGUUUGGGAAUGCAGCUCAAAAUGGGUGGUAAAUUCCAUCUAAAGCUAAAUAUUGGGGAGAGACCGAUAGCGAACAAGUACCGUGAGGGAAAGAUGAAAAGCACUUUGGAAAGAGAGUUAAAUAGUACGUGAAAUUGUCGAAAGGGAAGCGCUUGAAGUUAGAUAUGCUAUUCGGGAUUCAGCCUUGCUUUUGCUUGGUGUAUUUCCCGGUUGGCAGGCCAGCAUCAGUUUUGGCUGUCGGAUAAGGGUAGGAGGAAUGUGGCCCCUCGGGGUGUUAUAGCCUCUUACUGGAUACGGCGGCUGGGACUGAGGACCGCAGUGCGCCUUUAUGG
rnacentral:rRNA from 1 species